rnacentral:pre_miRNA from 1 species
UGAAUACUCCCUCCAUCCAAAAAUAUUUGUCAUCAAAAUGAAUAAAAGGGGAUGUAUCUAGAACUACAUCUAGAUACAUCCCCUUUUAUUCAUUUUGAUGACAAGUAUUUUCAGACGGAGGGAGUACUUC